rnacentral:rRNA from 1 species
GACGAACGCUGGCGGCGUGCCUAAUACAUGCAAGUAGAACGCACAGUUUAUACCGUAGCUUGCUACACCAUAGACUGUGAGUUGCGAACGGGUGAGUAACGCGUAGGUAACCUGCCUGGUAGCGGGGGAUAACUAUUGGAAACGAUAGCUAAUACCGCAUAAUAUUAAUUAUUGCAUGAUAAUUAAUUGAAAGGUGCAAUUGCACCACUACCAGAUGGACCUGCGUUGUAUUAGCUAGAAGGUGAGGUAACGGCUCACCUAGGCGACGAUACAUAGCCGACCUGAGAGGGUGAUCGGCCACACUGGGACUGAGACACGGCCCAGACUCCUACGGGAGGCAGCAGUAGGGAAUCUUCGGCAAUGGACGAAAGUCUGACCGAGCAACGCCGCGUGAGUGAAGAAGGUUUUCGGAUCGUAAAGCUCUGUUGUAAGAGAAGAACGGGUGUGAGAGUGGAAAGUUCACACUGUGACGGUAUCUUACCAGAAAGGGACGGCUAACUACGUG